ACAACAUUCGGACCGUCGGUCUACCGAGCAAUGUCACGCGCUCGGUGGAAAGCCUUACCUUUUUCGU
rfam:Bombyx mori DNA, contig: Bm_scaf98_contig35658, strain: p50T/Dazao, build 2, whole genome shotgun sequence.